GCACGGGAGCUUGCUCCUGGUGGCGAGUGGCGAACGGGUGAGUAAUGCGUCGGAACGUACCGAGUAAUGGGGGAUAACGCAGCGAAAGCUGUGCUAAUACCGCAUACGCCCUGAGGGGGAAAGUGGGGGAUCGCAAGACCUCACGUUAUUCGAGCGGCCGACGUCUGAUUAGCUAGUUGGUGGGGUAAUGGCUCACCAAGGCGACGAUCAGUAGCGGGUCUGAGAGGAUGAUCCGCCACACUGGAACUGAGACACGGUCCAGACUCCUACGGGAGGCAGCAGUGGGGAAUUUUGGACAAUGGGGGCAACCCUGAUCCAGCCAUUCCGCGUGAGUGAAGAAGGCCUUCGGGUUGUAAAGCUCUUUCAGCUGGAAAGAAACGGUGAGCUCUAACAUAGCUUGCUAAUGACGGUACCAGCAGAAGAAGCACCGGCUAACUACGUGCCAGCAGCCGCGGUAAUACGUAGGGUGCGAGCGUUAAUCGGAAUUACUGGGCGUAAAGCGUGCGCAGGCGGAUUGUUAAGCAAGAUGUGAAAUCCCCGGGCUUAACCUGGGAAUUGCGAUUGUGACUGCAUCGCUGGAGUGCGGCAGAGGGGGAUGGAAUUCCGCGUGUAGCAGUGAAAUGCGUAGAUAUGCGGAGGAACACCGAUGGCGAAGGCAAUCCC
rnacentral:rRNA from 1 species